rnacentral:rRNA from 1 species
AACGAACGCUGGCGGCAGGCCUAACACAUGCAAGUCGAGCGCGCCCUUCGGGGUUAGCGGCGGACGGGUGAGUAACGCGUGGGAACGUGCCCUUUUCUACGGAAUAGCCUCGGGAAACUGAGAGUAAUACCGUAUACGCCCUUUGGUGGAAAGAUUUAUCGGAAAAGGAUCGGCCCGCGUGCGAUUAGGUAGUUGGUGGGGUAAUGGCCUACCAAGCCGACGAUCCAUAGCUGGUUUGAGAGGAUGCUCAGCCACACUGGGACUGAGACACGGCCCAGACUCUUACGGGAGGGAGCAGAGGGGAAUCUUAGACAAUGGGGGGAACACUGAACUAGCCAGGAAGGGGGAGUGAUGAAGGUCGUAGGGUUGUAAAGCUCUUUCAGAUGGGAAGAUAAUGACGGUACCAGCAGAAGAAGCCCCGGCUAACUCCGUG